rnacentral:lncRNA from 1 species
GCGAGGGAGAGAAAUGGUCGAGUACAGAAGCCUGCGUGUGGGUAAGAAAAUACCCUAACCACUCGCCCACCGGACGCAGGGCGGCUGGGACUGCGAAUCCAGCAGCAGCCACAGCGUAGCAGCGGGCGGCAGCCGCCGAGGCAGCAAUGUCAGGAGGGCACAGCUGGAGGAGGCGGCCGCCAAAGCCACUACCCCACCCCCAGGAAGAUUUGGAAAAGAGGCACUGGCUACUGGAGGAAGGGAGAAAUCACCGAGAGAGCGAAAGAUGUAACAGAAAAAAAAGGCCUUAUGAAGACAUUGCAAAAGGACAACUAUCUGCAAACCAGGAAGAGAGACCUCACCAGAAAUCAACCCUGCUGGUGGUACCUUGAUCUUAGACUUCCAGCCUCC